CCUGCCUGUAAUUAGGGGAUAGCUCGGUGAAAGUCGAAUUAAUACCCUAUAUUCUAUAUUUUUCGCAUGAUUGAUAUAGGAAAGAUUUAUUGAUUACAGAUGGGCAUGCGUUCCAUUAGCUUGUUGGUAAGGUAACGGCUUACCAAGGCAACGAUGGAUAGGGGGACUGAGAGGUUGACCCCCCACACUGGUACUGAGACACGGACCAGACUCCUACGGGAGGCAGCAGUGAGGAAUAUUGGUCAAUGGGCGCAAGCCUGAACCAGCCAAGUCGCGUGAAGGACGACGGUCCUAUGGAUUGUAAACUUCUUUUGUAGAGGAAUAAUGAUGGCCACGGGUGGCUGAAGGGAAUGUACUCUGCGAAUAA
rnacentral:rRNA from 1 species